UGCAAGUCGAGGGGUAACAUGGGGUAGCAAUACCCUGAUGACGACCGGCAAACGGGUGCGGAACACGUACGCAACCUUCCCAUAACUGGUGAAUAGCCCUCCGAAAGGAGGAUUAAUACACCGUAACAUAACGAUGUGGCAUCAUGUUGUUAUUAUAGGCUUCGGCCGGUUUUGGAUGGGCGUGCGCCUGAUUAGGUAGUUGGCGGGGUAACGGCCCACCAAGCCUACGAUCAGUAACUGGUGUGAGAGCACGACCAGUCACACGGGCACUGAGACACGGGCCCGACUCCUACGGGAGGCAGCAGUAAGGAAUAUUGGUCAAUGGACGAAAGUCUGAACCAGCCAUGCCGCGUGAAGGAUGAAGGCCCUCUGGGUUGUAAACUUCUUUUAUAGGGGACGAAAAAAGCUCAUUCUUGAGCACUUGACGGUACCCUAGGAAUAAGCACCGGCUAACUCCGUGCCAGCAGCCGCGGUAAUACGGAGGGUGCAAGCGUUAUCCGGAUUUACUGGGUUUAAAGGGUGCGUAGGUGGGCAGUUAAGUCAGUGGUGAAAUCUCCGGGCUUAACCCGGAAACUGCCAUUGAUACUAUCUGUCUUGAAUAUCCUGGAGGUGAGCGGAAUAUGUCAUGUAGCGGUGAAAUGCUUAGAUAUGAGAUAGAACACCAAUUGCGAAGGCAGCUCACUACGGGGUCAUUGACACUGAGGCACGAAAGCGUGGGGAUCAAACAGGAUUAGAUACCCUGUAGUCCACGCCCUAAACGAUGGAUACUCGACAUCAGCGAUACACUGUGGUGUCUGAGCGAAAGCAUUAAGUAUCCCACCUGGGAAGUACGAUCGCAAGAUUGAAACUC
rnacentral:rRNA from 1 species